rnacentral:rRNA from 1 species
CCUACGGGAGGCAGCAGUGGGGAAUAUUGGACAAUGGGGGCAACCCUGAUCCAGCCAUGCCGCGUGUGUGAAGAAGGCCCUCGGGUUGUAAAGCACUUUCAGUGAGGAAGAACGCCUGGUGGUUAAUACCCAUCAGGAAAGACAUCACUCACAGAAGAAGCACCGGCUAACUCCGUGCCAGCAGCCGCGGUAAUACGGAGGGUGCGAGCGUUAAUCGGAAUUACUGGGCGUAAAGCGCGCGUAGGUGGCUUGAUAAGCCGGUUGUGAAAGCCCCGGGCUCAACCUGGGAACGGCAUCCGGAACUGUUAAGCUAGAGUGCAGGAGAGGAAGGUAGAAUUCCCGGUGUAGCGGUGAAAUGCGUAGAGAUCGGGAGGAAUACCAGUGGCGAAGGCGGCCUUCUGGACUGACACUGACACUGAGGUGCGAAAGCGUGGGUAGCAAACAGGAUUAGAUACCCUGGUAGUC